rnacentral:lncRNA from 1 species
AACCCUUCAGCAGCUAGUAUAAGAAGUCUGGACAGUAGAAAUAGAGGGAAGAAGAUAAUUCAAGGAUUUUUGUACUUUUCUGACCUGUAUCUGAAGCUGUUUCUUUCUGGAAUGAAAAACCAUGAUGUGAGGAUAAUGAAGACUGAUUGUGUGCCUUGAUGCCAUUUCUCUGUCAUCUUGGAACUUGAAGGAAAUCUCAGAGGAUCAGAAAAUGCAAGGAAGCAUGGACAAUUUCCAAGAAGAGGGCGCUCAGGAAGUCACUGUAACACUUUUUGAUGACAUGGAAACUGAAAACAAAGUGAAACAAAAGUU